ACUGUGCCACAUGUAUGAUUAACAUUAAAACAUGAUUUAUAAAACUAUGCCAACAAUUAUUAGGCUAUUUUAAUAGCCUAUGUAGACAAAGGUAUGAAGGCUUUAGGCCUCCCUACAUGUUACUGUAGGCCCAGUUUAAUAUGCAACUUCAUUUUCUAUAUAUGUAGCAGGGGGUCCCCAUUCUAUCACUCUUUCAGUUAGGGGGUCCUGGGCUUAAAAAACAUUGAAGACCCCUGCUGUAAACCAUCCA